AGUGGCGACGGGUGAGUAACACGUGGGCAAUCUGCCCUGCACUCUGGGAAAGCCUGGAAACGGGGUCUAAUACCGGAUAUGACCAUCUUGGGCAUCCUUGAUGGUGUAAAGCUCCGGCGGUGCAGGAUGAGCCCGCGGCCUAUCAGCUUGUUGGUGAGGUAAUGGCUCACCAAGGCGACGACGGGUAGCCGGCCUGAGAGGGCGACCGGCCACACUGGGACUGAGACACGGCCCAGACUCCUACGGGAGGCAGCAGUGGGGAAUAUUGCACAAUGGGCGAAAGCCUGAUGCAGCGACGCCGCGUGAGGGAUGACGGCCUUCGGGUUGUAAACCUCUUUCAGCAGGGAAGAAGCGAAAGUGACGGUACCUGCAGAAGAAGCGCCGGCUAACUACGUGCCAGCAGCCGCGGUAAUACGUAGGGCGCAAGCGUUGUCCGGAAUUAUUGGGCGUAAAGAGCUCGUAGGCGGCUUGUCACGUCGAUUGUGAAAGCUCGGGGCUUAACCCCGAGUCUGCAGUCGAUACGGGCUAGCUAGAGUGUGGUAGGGGAGAUCGGAAUUCCUGGUGUAGCGGUGAAAUGCGCAGAUAUCAGGAGGAACACCGGUGGCGAAGGCGGAUCUCUGGGCCAUUACUGACGCUGAGGAGCGAAAGCGUGGGGAGCGAACAGGAUUAGAUACCCUGGUAGUCCACGCCGUAAACGGUGGGAACUAGGUGUUGGCGACAUUCCACGUCGUCGGUGCCGCAGCUAACGCAUUAAGUUCCCCGCCUGGGGAGUACGGCCGCAAGGCUAAAACUCAAAAGGAAUUGACGGGGGCCCGCACAAGCGGCGGAGCAUGUGGCUUUAAUUCGACGCAACGCGAAGAAACCUUACCAAGGCUUGGACAUACACCGGAAAAGC
rnacentral:rRNA from 1 species